AUGGACUUGACAGUCAGUGAUGCAGGGUCAGCCUCAGGCUUGAUGUCCAUCACGCAGUCAAACACAGGCGUCUCUGGCACGGGAUCCGGGUCCAGGAAAUCAUCCUCGACUUUCUCCUCCAUCCACUCCGAGUCGAGAUCAUGGAGCUGGCAGAAGAACUUCAGGGGCCCAGAGAAGGUGGGACUGGAGGUCCCUGACAGAUCCCUCCCACCCUGGGGCUUGCUGCAGUAUACUCACCGUGGGUCCCAGCUGUUUCAGAAGUGUCAGCAAGGAGGAGACAAGAGCCCUUGUGUUUUCUCAGGUGCAGCGGAGGUGUCAUCAAGUGCUCCUCAAGACAGGAAGCUCUUGCCUGUAUCUGUACUGGAUCCUGGAGUUGUGCUCAGAACCCAGAGUUCCAUUACUAAAAAGUUGGAAGACCUAUGGCUUAGAACUAAGCCUCUGGCUAUAGUAUGAAGAUUCCAGCUGUAGCCACCUCAGUGAGUCCCAAAUAUUGGAGGUCCCAGCCCAAACGCACAUGGUUUAGUUUAUUGCCAGGAAGAGUGGGACCAAGAAAAUGAACGUGUACAGCUAGACAGCUGGGAUGAGGCUGUCUGCCUAUCACCGUGUAUGAAAGACAAUAGAUUUCUUUUCUAGGUGGGUGACUACAGAAUCACAUGAGGCCACUGUAGUUCUCUGUCCAUGUGCUUGCCCAUUUGCUUGACAAACAUUUACUGAGUGUCUCCCGUGGCCUAGAUCUAUAGUGUAGUACAUAGACCAGGUCCUGGAGACACCAGAUAUGUAUCCCAGGCUUCCCUUUCCCAGCUGCUGACCCAUAUGGCUCCACUCACUAUCUCCAGCCACACUCCUUGUACUUCUUAGGUAAGCCUGCACCUAUGCUGUGCACAUGCUAUUCUGCCUGGAACAUCCCUCUAGCACCCUGCCCCGCUCCCCUGCCUCCCACAUACUUUAUCAAGGUCACUCCUAUUCAUCUUGUAGAUCUCAAUCAGAUGCUUCCUGAAGUGGGUCCUGCUCCAUCACUUAUAGGCACCUCAUGCCUGUCCUUCAUCCCACUAGCAAUGACAAUACUCCUGAAAUGUGCAGGGCCCUGUCCUGAGAGUUUUACAUGUGUUAACUCAUUUCCUCUUCACAGAACCCCUAUGAAGUUGGUACUACUGUUAUCCCCUCCAUUGUACAGACCAGGAAGAUGAAGUGCUAACCAAAGUCACCUAGCUGCUGCUCCCCAUUGCUUACCUCACUGCCGGAGCUCCGCCUCUUGUCAGCUAAGCUGUGGUAUGAGAUUCUCAUAGGAGCAUGACCCCUACUGCAAAGUGCACAUGCAAGGGAUCUAGGUUGUGUGGUACUUAUGAGAAUCUAAUGCCUGAUGAUCUUAAGUGGAGAUGUAAUGUGCUUGAAUCAUCUUGAAACCAUUCCCUGCUGCUGUCUGUGGAAAAAGUGUUUUCUGUGAAACCAGUCCUUGGUGAGGACAUGGGCCAAAGCAUCUAGCACAAGUCCUUGUGUGUAAGUCUAUGAUAAAUAUUUACUAAAUGAGUGAAUGAUCAUGGGAAAAUGAUAAACUUGUAUUCAGUUUUCUUACUUGAUAAAUGGGUAUAAUAAUAUAUGCUUUGAAGAACUGUUAUAAAGACUUUAGACACUAGAGAUGAGAAAUCCAGCAUGGUGCCAGGCAUUUAGUAGGUGCCCAAUACAUGGCAGAUUAUAGUUAUGACAGUAUAUAAUUUUUUUUUGAGACAGUCUCAC